GUGGGGAAUCUUGCGCAAUGGGCGAAAGCCUGACGCAGCCAUGCCGCGUGAAUGAUGAAGGUCUUAGGAUUGUAAAAUUCUUUCACCGGGGACGAUAAUGACGGUACCCGGAGAAGAAGCUCCGGCUAACUUCGUGCCAGCAGCCGCGGUAAUACGAAGGGGGCUAGCGUUGCUCGGAAUUACUGGGCGUAAAGGGCGCGUAGGCGGACAGCUUAGUCAGAGGUGAAAGCCCAGGGCUCAACCUUGGAAUUGCCUUUGAUACUGGCUGUCUUGAGUUUGGGAGAGGUGGGUGGAACUCCGAGUGUAGAGGUGAAAUUCGUAGAUAUUCGGAAGAACACCAGUGGCGAAGGCGACUCACUGGCCCGUUACUGACGCUGAGGCGCGAAAGCGUGGGGAGCAAACAGGAUUAGAUACCCUUGUAGUCC
rnacentral:rRNA from 1 species